rnacentral:lncRNA from 1 species
GCGGUCCUCCUUUGAUGCUUAUCUCGGAGCUUCCUUCAAGUGGCGCAUCCUCAAGUCAUAAGUUUCCUCUUUCUCAAUCUUUUCCAUUUUUAAUUUCUCUCAAUUUCUUGUAUGUCAUUUUAGAAUAUUCUCUCUAGGUAUGCACUUCCCCAUCACGGGGUCUCGAAGCUUGGGCGCCCAACUCGAGGCUCAAGCCUUACAUGAGGAUCGCUCACC